rnacentral:rRNA from 1 species
AACGCGAAGAACCUUACCUACUCUUGACAUGGUGCGAAGGUUGGAGAGAUCUGACUGUGCCGAAAGGAACGCACACACAGGUGCUGCAUGGCUGUCGUCAGCUCGUGUCGUGAGAUGUUGGGUUAAGUCCCGCAACGAGCGCAACCCUUAUCUCCAGUUACCAGCACGUUAUGGUGGGGACUCUGGAGAGACUGCUGAUCUAUGAUCGGAGGAAGGGGGGAUGACGUCAAGUCAUCAUGGCCCUUACGAGUAGGGCUACACACGUACUACAAUGGUCGGUACAGAGGGAAGCAAGAUCGCGAGAUGGAGCCAAUCCCAGAAAGCUGAUCGUAGUCCGGAUUGGAGUCUGCAACUCGACUCCAUGAAGCCGGAAUCGCUAGUAAUCGCAGAUCAGAAUGCUGCGGUGAAUACGUUCCCGGGCCUUGUACACACCGCACUACUA